rnacentral:rRNA from 1 species
CGCCUGGGGAGUACGGCCGCAAGGUUAAAACUCAAAUGAAUUGACGGGGGCCCGCACAAGCGGUGGAGCAUGUGGUUUAAUUCGAUGCAACGCGAAGAACCUUACCUGGUCUUGACAUCCACAGAACUUUCCAGAGAUGGAUUGGUGCCUUCGGGAACUGUGAGACAGGUGCUGCAUGGCUGUCGUCAGCUCGUGUUGUGAAAUGUUGGGUUAAGUCCCGCAACGAGCGCAACCCUUAUCCUUUGUUGCCAGCGGUCCGGCCGGGAACUCAAAGGAGACUGCCAGUGAUAAACUGGAGGAAGGUGGGGAUGACGUCAAGUCAUCAUGGCCCUUACGACCAGGGCUACACACGUGCUACAAUGGCAUAUACAAAGAGAAGCGACCUCGCGAGAGCAAGCGGACCUCAUAAAGUAUGUCGUAGUCCGGAUUGGAGUCUGCAACUCGACUCCAUGAAGUCGGAAUCGCUAGUAAUCGUAGAUCAGAAUGCUACGGUGAAUACGUUCCCGGGCCUUGUACACACCGCCCGUCACACCAUGGGAGUGGGUUGCAAAAGAAGUAGGUAGCUUAACCUUCGGGAGGGCGCUUACCACUUUGUGAUUCAUGACUGGGGUGAAGUCGUAACAAGGUAACCGUAGGGGAACCUGCGGUUGGAUCACCUCCUUA